GUGGGGAAUAUUGGACAAUGGGCGAAAGCCUGAUCCAGCCAUGCCGCGUGUGUGAAGAAGGUCUUCGGAUUGUAAAGCACUUUAAGUUGGGAGGAAGGGCAGUAAGUUAAUACCUUGCUGUUUUGACGUUACCAACAGAAUAAGCACCGGCUAACUUCGUGCCAGCAGCCGCGGUAAUACGAAGGGUGCAAGCGUUAAUCGGAAUUACUGGGCGUAAAGCGCGCGUAGGUGGUUCAGCAAGUUGAAGGUGAAAUCCCCGGGCUCAACCUGAGAACUGCCUCCAAAACUGCAUGACUAGAGUACGGUAGAGGGUAGUGGAAUUUCCUGUGUAGCGGUGAAAUGCGUAGAUAUAGGAAGGAACACCAGUGGCGAAGGCGACUACCUGGACUGAUACUGACACUGAGGUGCGAAAGCGUGGGGAGCAAACAGGAUUAGAUACCCCAGUAGUCC
rnacentral:rRNA from 1 species